AUUCGAUGCACCCGGAGGAACGGAAGGCAGGAUUGCAGCUUCCUCAGUGCAACCUCCAAACAGGAAAUCUGAGAUGCAUAACAUCUUAUAGUUUGGCUUGUCAACGUUGGUCAUGCGGUGGCCCCAAAAUAAACUCCCUGCUUCAAAGGAGAGCGUUUCAGAACUGCCUGGCAGAGCAGCCAGAAGCUUGGGGCCAGGGCAGAAGGAAAACUCGGGGAGCAUGUUCUGAAUUAAGACACUUUCAAGAAAAUCCUUUGUAUUACCCCUGAAUUGUACCCUUGUUUCAGAGCCUAACAGGGUUUUCUGAUUUGCUGUUCCCUCCUCCCCACUGGGUGUCUGUUCUGGAGGCGCUGCUGAGCGCGCGCUUCGACGUGAACACGCCGCUGGCGCCCGAGCGCGCGCGCCUCUACGAAGACCGGCGCAGCUCCGCGCUGUACUUCGCGGUGGUCAACAACAACGUGUAUGCCACCGAGCUGCUGCUGGAACACGGCGCCGACCCCAACCGCGACGUCAUCAGCCCCUUGCUCGUGGCCAUUCGCCACGGCUGCCUGCGCACAAUGCAGCUGCUGCUGGACCACG
rnacentral:sRNA from 1 species